rnacentral:rRNA from 1 species
UACGUAGGGUGCGAGCGUUAAUCGGAAUUACUGGGCGUAAAGCGUGCGCAGGCGGUUGGUUAAGUCUGAUAUGAAAGCCCCGGGCUCAACUUGGGAAUGGCAUUGGAAACUGGCUGGCUAGAGUGUGGCAGAGGGGGGUGGAAUUCCGCGUGUAGCAGUGAAAUGCGUAGAGAUGCGGAGGAACACCGAUGGCGAAGGCAGCCCCCUGGGCUGACACUGACGCUCAGGCACGAAAGCGUGGGGAGCAAACAGG